rnacentral:lncRNA from 1 species
UAAUUUUACUUCAUUCAUCAUAUUCUGGUAUUUCCCAAAUCAUGUUCAACACUGCUGCUUCUGGCAAGUGUUCAUUGUGGUCUGAGAAUAAAUGAUCCUAGACCAUAGACCUCACUCCUUGGACAUUGUUAAUUAAUGUUAGUGCUUUAAUGAAGCUUAAAGUUUUGAAUCAAGAAAAAACAGUUUUCUAAACACAUCUUGAAGAAACUUUAGAAAAGUUUUGUUUUACAUAUCUUUCAGCAACUUCAAAUAAUAUAACCAGGAAUUCUUUGAAAAAGAUGCUUCUGGUUUUUUGUUUUAACCCUAAGGAAAACUUAUGCCACUUUAAAUGAAUCUACUUUAAAGUUAAUUAGUAUAUCUUAGUGAAUUUUAUCACCUAAUAUAUUCAAAACAGUAAAAUUGUUUCACCGCUUGUUAGAAAUUAUAUGAAAAACAUUUCAGUUAAACCCAAGAAAAAUGUGCUA